rnacentral:rRNA from 1 species
GAUGAACGCUGGCGGCGUGCCUAAUACAUGCAAGUCGAGCGAACGGACGAGAAGCUUGCUUCUCUGAUGUUAGCGGCGGACGGGUGAGUAACACGUGGAUAACCUACCUAUAAGACUGGGAUAACUUCGGGAAACCGGAGCUAAUACCGGAUAAUAUUUUGAACCGCAUGGUUCAAAAGUGAAAGACGGUCUUGCUGUCACUUAUAGAUGGAUCCGCGCUGCAUUAGCUAGUUGGUAAGGUAACGGCUUACCAAGGCAACGAUGCAUAGCCGACCUGAGAGGGUGAUCGGCCACACUGGAACUGAGACACGGUCCAGACUCCUACGGGAGGCAGCAGUAGGGAAUCUUCCGCAAUGGGCGAAAGCCUGACGGAGCAACGCCGCGUGAGUGAUGAAGGUCUUCGGAUCGUAAAACUCUGUUAUUAGGGAAGAACAUAUGUGUAAGUAACUGUGCACAUCUUGACGGUACCUAAUCAGAAAGCCACGGCUAACUACGUGCCAGCAGCCGCGGUAAUACGUAGGUGGCAAGCGUUAUCCGGAAUUAUUGGGCGUAAAGCGCGCGUAGGCGGUUUUUUAAGUCUGAUGUGAAAGCCCACGGCUCAACCGUGGAGGGUCAUUGGAAACUGGAAAACUUGAGUGCAGAAGAGGAAAGUGGAAUUCCAUGUGUAGCGGUGAAAUGCGCAGAGAUAUGGAGGAACACCAGUGGCGAAGGCGACUUUCUGGUCUGUAACUGACGCUGAUGUGCGAAAGCGUGGGGAUCAAACAGGAUCAGAUACCCUGGUAGUCCACGCCGUAAACGAUGAGUGCUAAGUGUUAGGGGGUUUCCGCCCCUUAGUGCUGCAGCUAACGCAUUAAGCACUCCGCCUGGGGAGUACGACCGCAAGGUUGAAACUCAAAGGAAUUGACGGGGACCCGCACAAGCGGUGGAGCAUGUGGUUUAAUUCGAAGCAACGCGAAGAACCUUACCAAAUCUUGACAUUCUUUGACAACUCUAGAGAUAGAGCCUUCCCCUUCGGGGGACAAAGUGACAGGUGGUGCAUGGUUGUCGUCAGCUCGUGUCGUGAGAUGUUGGGUUAAGUCCCGCAACGAGCGCAACCCUUAAGCUUAGUUGCCAUCAUUAAGUUGGGCACUCUAAGUUGACUGCCGGUGACAAACCGGAGGAAGGUGGGGAUGACGUCAAAUCAUCAUGCCCCUUAUGAUUUGGGCUACACACGUGCUACAAUGGACAAUACAAAGGGCAGCGAAACCGCGAGGUCAAGCAAAUCCCAUAAAGUUGUUCUCAGUUCGGAUUGUAGUCUGUAACUCGACUACAUGAAGCUGGAAUCGCUAGUAAUCGUAGAUCAGCAUGCUACGGUGAAUACGUUCCCGGGUCU